GACGAACGCUGGCGGCGUGCUUAACACAUGCAAGUCGAACGGAAAGGCCCUUCUUUUGUGGGGUGCUCGAGUUGCGAACUGGUGAUUAACACUUGAGUAACCUGCCCUUGACUUUGGGAUAACUUCAUGAAACUUGGGCUCAUACCGGAUAGGAGCUCCUGCUGCAUGGUGGGGGUUGGAAAGUUUCGGCGGUUGGGGAUGGACUCGCGGCUUAUCAGCUUGUUGGUGGGGUAGUGGCUUACCAAGGCUUUGAGGGGUAGCCGGCCUGAGAGGGUGACCGGCCACAUUGGGACUGAGAUACGGCACAGACUACUACGGGAGGCAGCAGUGGGGAAUAUUGCACAAUGGGCGGAAGCCUGAUGCAGCAACGCCGCGUGCGGGAUGACGGCCUUCGGGUUGUAAACCGAUUUCGCCUGUGACGAAGCGUGAGUGACGGUAAUGGGUAAAGAAGCACCGGCUAACUACGUG
rnacentral:rRNA from 1 species